GACGUAGGGCGCGAGCGUUGUCCGGAUUUAUUGGGCGUAAAGAGCUCGUAGGCGGCUUGUCGCGUCGACUGUGAAAUCCCGCGGCUCAACUGCGGGUCUGCAGUCGAUACGGGCAGGCUAGAGUUCGGUAGGGGAGACUGGAAUUCCUGGUGUAGCGGUGAAAUGCGCAGAUAUCAGGAGGAACACCGAUGGCGAAGGCGGGUCUCUGGGCCGAUACUGACGCUGAGGAGCGAAAGCGUGGGGAGCGAACAGG
rnacentral:rRNA from 1 species